rfam:Amborella trichopoda AMTR_V1.0_contig_20254, whole genome shotgun sequence.
GGCUUACACUUGAUCUCUGAACUUGAGGUAAGUUCAUGUGUUGACAAGUUCUUCCAAUAUACUGAUGCA